rnacentral:rRNA from 1 species
UACGUAGGAGGCGAGCGUUGUCCGGAUUUACUGGGCGUAAAGGGCGUGUAGGCGGCUUCGUAAGUCUUGUGUGAAAGCCCUCGGCUCAACCGAGGAAUUGCACGAGAAACUGCGUGGCUCGAGUCCGGGAGAGGAUAGUGGAAUUCCCAGUGUAGCGGUGAAAUGCGUAGAUAUUGGGAGGAACACCGGUGGCGAAGGCGGCUAUCUGGACCGGUACUGACGCUGAUACGCGAAAGCCAGGGGAGCAAACGGG